rnacentral:snRNA from 1 species
ACUCAUAUCUUGCAAGAGAAAUACCAUGUAACAAAAGUGGUUUUCUAAGGGAAAGGCUCAUUAUGGUACUCUAGGUGUGUUGCUAAUCCCUGUGAUUUCUCUAAAUGUGAGGAAUUCAACUGCAUAAUUUGUAUUAAUGGAAGAUUGCACUUCUG